rnacentral:rRNA from 1 species
CUCAUGCAGCCAUGCCGCGUGCAUGAUGAAGGCCUUCGGGUUGUAAACUGCUUUUGUACGGAACGAAAAAGCUUCUCCUAAUACCAGAGGCCCCUGACGGUACCGUAAGAAUAAGCACCGGCUAACUACGUGCCAGCAGCCGCGGUAAUACGUAGGGUGCGAGCGUUAAUCGGAAUUACUGGGCGUAAAGCGUGCGCAGGCGGUUAUGUAAGACAGAUGUGAAAUCCCCGGGCUCAACCUGGGAACUGCAUUUGUGACUGCAUGGCUAGAGUACGGUAGAGGGGGAUGGAAUUCCGCGUGUAGCAAUGAAAUGCGUAAAUAUGCGGAGGAACACCGAUGGCGAAGGCAAUCCCCUGGACCUGUACUGACGCUCAUGCACAAAAGCGUGGGGAGCAAACAGGAUUAAAUACCCUGGUAGUCCACGCCCUAAACGAUGUCAACUGGUUGUUGGGAAUUAGUUUUCUCAGUAACGAAGCUAACGCGUGAAGUUGACCGCCUGGGAAGUACAGGUCGCAGAGUUGAAACCUCAAAGAAAAAUUUGAACGGG